rnacentral:rRNA from 2 species
GACGAACCGAGCGAACGUUGUUCGGAAUCACUGGGCUUAAAGGGCGCGUAGGCGGGCGAUCAAGUCGGUGGUGAAAUCCUGCAGCUUAACUGCAGAACUGCCUCCGAUACUGGUUGUCUCGAGGAAGGUAGGGGCGUACGGAACAGUUGGUGGAGCGGUGAAAUGCGUUGAUAUCAACUGGAACUCCGGUGGCGAAGGCGGUACGCUGGACCUUUUCUGACGCUGAGGCGCGAAAGCCAGGGGAGCAAACGGG